rnacentral:rRNA from 1 species
UUUAAAGAGCCGCGGUAUUUUGACCGUGCAAAGGUAGCAUAAUCAUUAGUCUCUUAAUUAGAGGCUGGAAUGAAUGGCUUGACGAGAAAUCAACUGUCUCUUAAUAAGUUUUAUAAUUUAACUUUUGAGUCAAAAGGCUUAAAUUUUCCUUUAGGACGAGAAGACCCUAUAGAGCUUUACAUUUUAUUUAUAUAUAUUUUUAAGAUAGUCUUUUUAUAUUUAAUGUCAAUGUUUUGUUGGGGUGACAUGAAGAAUUAAUAAACUCUUCAUUAUUAAAUCAUUGAUUUAUGUUUAUUUGAUCCAUAAUUUAUGAUCAUAAGAUUAAGUUACCUUAGGGAUAACAGCGUAAUUGUUUUUGAGAGCUCAUAUCGACAAAGCAGAUUGCGACCUCGAUGUUGGAUUAAGAAAAGUUUUGGGUGCAGUAGCCCAGUAAUUAGGUCUGUUCGACCUUUAAAUUCUUACG